rnacentral:tRNA from 1 species
CAAAUUAUAAUUUAAAAAAAAUAUUUACUUUGGGGGUAAGUUUUCCAUAUUGGUGAUUUGA